rnacentral:rRNA from 1 species
AUUGAACGCUGGCGGCAGGCCUAACACAUGCAAGUCGAGCGAGCGGCGGACGGGUGAGUACUGUCUGGGAAACUGCCUGCUUGAGGGGGAUAACUACUGGAAACGGUAUCUAAUACCGCCUACCAUCUGAUGUGCCCCGAUGGGAUUAGCUAGUAGGUGGGGUCAUGGCUCACCUAGGCGACGAUCCCUAGCGGGUCUGAGAGGAUGACCCGCCAAACUGGAACUUAGACACGGUCCAGACUCAUACGGGAGGAAGCAGUGGGGAAUAUUGCACAAUGGGCGCAAGCCUGAUGCAGCCAUGCCGCGUGUGUGAAGAAGGCCUUCGGGUUGUAAAGCACUUUCAGCGGGGAGGCGUUACCCGCAGAAGAAGCACCGGCUAACUCCGUGCCAGCAGCCGCGGUAAUUC